rnacentral:rRNA from 1 species
UACGGGGGGGGCAAGCGUUGUUCGGAAUUACUGGGCGUAAAGCGCACGUAGGCGGCUUGGCAAGUCGGAUGUGAAAGCCCUCGGCUCAACCAAGGAAGUGCAUCCGAAACUGCUGAGCUUGAGUACUUAAGAGGAUCGCGGAAUUCCCGGUGUAGAGGUGAAAUUCGUAGAUAUCGGGAGGAACACCAGUGGCGAAGGCGGCGAUCUGGGAAGAUACUGACGCUGAGGUGCGAAAGCGUGGGGAGCAAACAGG